GUCUGAAUCAGUUCUGUGUUGUCGAUAGUAAAUGUAACAAAUACGUCUUUAAAUACCAAUUGCUUUUCGUAGUUGCAGCUUAAAUAUUACAAGUCAUUUGCAUUACUCAACACCGUACUUAAUGUAAGUACCAAAGACUUAACACGAUAACAUCUCAGAUAAUGUUUGUUACUUACAUUUCAAAACAGUGAGACGUCAGGAUAAUAGGCGGGCCUAGGGCAACGUUAAUGGGGGAAAUAUUUUUUUUCUACCGACGGAGCAGCCCCUCUCGGUAGUUUAUAGCCAUUUAACCUAUUUAUUUAUUACAGAAUAAUGCAGAUUAGUACAUUUAUGGUAUUUGUAAAGGCGUAUUUAAUGUUCACAAUACAUGCAAAUAUAAUAUGAACACAGUCUUAACUAUCCAAUUACAUUUAUCAGUCCUGGCAGAUGAUCACCACCCAGUCUUUGUCCAGGCUACAGCCCCAAACGGCGUCUUUAAGUAGCCAGCAUAUGGACCUCCUAUCUCCCCCUUCUCAGAUGCCAGAGAGUCUCAUUGAUAGAGCUGAGUUGUGGCUGUGUUAGAUGGAUGAUCAUCCGGUAUGGUUAGAGGAUAUCCCUUCUGCUACCUCACCUAGCAAGCUAGUAGAUCUCACCUCAGUAGACAGGAAGAGGCUGGUGACACCACAAUAUCUCCACGGGCUGGUGGGGGUGGGCUUGGAAGAACCGAGCUCCAUGUCUGGUCUCUCUAGCGGAGCUUGAACGUUAUCUCCCUCCUCCAUGCUCCACCAAUUAUCCCAGUUUGAAAGAGACGUUUUUUAAAUGAGGCAGUUAACUGUGCAGAUGCAAUUUGCCUCGUUCGUAGAGUGUGUGUGUGUGUGUGUGUGGAGGGAUACUAGCUGAAAAGAGGGUGCCACACCAGCUGCCAGACAGACACCCAGAGCUCAUUAGUAUGCAACGGCUUAAUCAGGGAGCUGUCAUCAGAGACACAGCGAUCUCAUCAGGACAUUAAAGCAGCCAGGGGGGUUCAGCACACGCACACACCUACACACACUGAGAGAGAGAGAGAGCGAGAGAGAGCUGUAAGGAGGUUAUGCUUGUCCUUUGUACACUAUAGGCAAAUCUGUCCUGAUUGCCCUACAGAAGGCCCUGGCACCGGAAAACAGCCUGAGUUGAAGCUACAGGGACAUGACUGAAUUUGACUUCCUGCCAUCCUGACUACACACACACACAAACACACACACACACACAUACAGUUAUGGUGCUGUGGCUCAUAGAAGACUCUGGUAAUACGGCUGACAGACGAGAUUAUAGGAUUCCUUUGUCUGCCAUGUUAGUAGUAUUAGUAUCAUGUCUGAGGACAUUGAGUCAGAGCUGGUCUUGUAUUUAGUGGGUCAGUCAUAAGGUCCUUUUAUCUUAGUCACAUAACAUUUACUCCUAAAGGAAGCCACAGUCACAGAACUCAGGAGGGCAGGGGGAAUAAGUAAAUGUGAGGAGGUGAGGGAGCAGAGAGGGAGGGAGAGGCAGCUGUGUAGGAGAUUGCGUGCGGACAGCAGUUAAAGGAUGAAGAUGAAUGUUUUAUGAAGCUGAGCUUCAGCAACGCCAGAACAGCAGACUCACUGGAAGCACAUUGUUCAGCCAGCGAUCAAGCACACCAAUCACAAGAGCCCAUUCGGAUUUUGACUCAUUAUGAGAGAGGGUGAGAGGACGAGGGAGAGAGGAGAUGUUUAUGUGCCCGUAGAGGCCACAGCACAAGAUCACAUCCUCACGGCUGUCUCUUUCAUUUGACAACAGCUGACAAGUUAUUGAGCUAUCAGAGGGGUUUAAAACAAAACAAAGCCACUACACAAAGCCAAAAACAUAUUCCGCAGCCGAGUACUGGGAGCAAAUUGUAUUUGACCUUCCCCUGCGAGCACACAAACACGCACACAGCGCAGUACAAUACACACACCCACACAGCACAACACCCACCCACACACAUACACCACCUGCCCAUUAAUCUGAGUGCUCUGACUCAUCAAGCCCAGGAGGAAAGCAGUAGCUUGUAUCAGAGUAUAACGUUUCCACCAGUUAGCCUACAAUGUUUUUUGUUUGUGGAGGUGGGUUCGUGGGUGAUCUGACUCAGGCUUUUUCCUUCACCUUUACAAAUACACGCACACACACACACACACACACACACACAUAGAGAAAAGCAUCCUCAUUCCUUCUCACUAGACCAUGAUGGUGUUAAUGUUGGAGCCAGGGUGCGUGGUGUGUGUGUGAGAAUGGGGGGGGCUUAGGAAGUGUUAUAAACCACAGGAGAGUGAGAGCCAUCUGUUACAAACUCACUGUCCCACACAUGCACACAAACAUUCACACACACAUGCACACACACCUUGCCACACAGAGUAAAAGUGACAUGUUCAAGCAGAGAGAGACAUUAAUCAAGUUGGAUUCUUUCCCACAUGCAGCACGCAGAACUUGCUGACAGGGAGCACAUACACAUACGCACACACCAGGUGUCUGAUCUGUUGGGGCUCUGGGUACUUGGAACAGUGUGUUACUCAUCUCACUGUUAUCUCUUGGUAGUGUCAUCUUCUAGGAAAUACAUAGACUGGGGACGGGAGUAGGAAAUACAUAAAUGGAAUGGAAUAUUGUAUUCUUGUAAGAGACAGUUUUGCAUAGCACCAGUCCAAUAAUGAACAAAACAAAGAAACGAGUUGGCCCAUUGAUCUUCCAGGACUGCAGGAUGUGUCACAGACAGACAAAUAGUUCAAAAGAUAGAAAGAUAAGAGACUGUGUUUUUCCUUAACCUCAUCUUUGAUUUCUAAGUGCGACUCCAUUCAUUUGUUCCAAAACUGUUGGCCUUGUUGACUAUCGAUCUGGAUAUCUCUUCACAUAUACACACA